rnacentral:rRNA from 1 species
UACGAGGGGGGCAAGCGUUGUUCGGAUUCACUGGGCGUAAAGGGUGCGUAGGUGGCGAGGUAAGUUUGAUGUGAAAUCUCCGGGCUUAACCCGGAAAUGGCAUUGAAUACUCUCUCGCUAGAGGGUUGGAGGGGGGACUGGAAUUCUCGGUGUAGCAGUGAAAUGCGUAGAUAUCGAGAGGAGCACCAGUGGCGAAGGCGAGUCCCUGGACAACUCCUGACACUGAGGCACGAAAGCUAGGGGAGCAAACAGG